rnacentral:rRNA from 1 species
UAAGGAAUAUUGCUCAAUGGGAGAAAUCCUGAAGCAGCAACGCCGCGUGGAGGAUGAAGGGUCUAUGACUUGUAAACUCCUGUAAAGAAGGAAAAAAUUCCCAUUAGAUGGGAGAUGAUGGUACUUCUGGAGUAAGCCCCGGCUAACUACGUGCCAGCAGCCGCGGUAAUACGUAGGGGGCAAGCGUUGUCCGGAUUUACUGGGCGUAAAGGGUGCUCAGGCGGAUUUGUAAGUCAGAGGUGAAAUCUUACAGCUUAACUGUGAAACUGCCUUUGAUACUGCAAGCCUAGAGUAUGGAAGAGAGUGAUGGAAUAUCUGGUGUAGCAGUGAAAUGCGUAGAUAUCAGAUAGAACACCAAUGGCGAAGGCAGUCACUUGGUCCAUUACUGACGCUAAAGCACGAAAGCGUGGGUAGCAAACA